rnacentral:rRNA from 1 species
UGGGGAAUAUUGGGCAAUGGGCGAAAGCCUGACCCAGCAACGCCGCGUGAAGUAUGAAGGCCUUCGGGUUGUAAACUUCUUUGAUCAGGGAAGAAACAAAUGACGGUACCUGAAAAACAAGCCACGGCUAACUACGUGCCAGCAGCCGCGGUAAUACGUAGGUGGCGAGCGUUAUCCGGAUUUACUGGGUGUAAAGGGCGUGCAGGCGGGCUGAUAAGUCAGAUGUGAAAUCCCCGAGCUUAACUCGGGAACUGCAUCUGAUACUGUUGGUCUUGAGUGCUGGAGAGGAUAGUGGAAUUCCUAGUGUAGCGGUAAAAUGCGCAGAUAUUAGGAGGAACACCAGUGGCGAAGGCGACUUUCUGGCCAUAUACUGACGCUGAGGUACGAAAGCGUGGGUAGCAAACAGG